GUUAACACAAAAACACAAGAAUAAUGCUAUUGUCUACUAGUUCUUGGAGGCAAUCUAUUAUUCAUAAACAAGCUUUAAUAACACCAUUUUAUAAUUAAAAU